GAAACCAACAGGGAUUGCCCCAGUAACGGCGAGUGAAGCGGCAACAGCUCAAAUUUGAAAUCUGGCCCCCCGGCCCGAGUUGUAAUUUGCAGAGGAUGCUUUUGGUGAGGCACCUACCGAGUCCCCUGGAAUGGGGCGCCAUAGAGGGUGAGAGCCCCGUAUGGUAGGACGCCGAACCUCUGUAAAGCUCCUUCGACGAGUCGAGUAGUUUGGGAAUGCUGCUCUAAAUGGGAGGUAAAUUUCUUCUAAAGCUAAAUACCGGCCAGAGACCGAUAGCGCACAAGUAGAGUGAUCGAAAGAUGAAAAGCACUUUGAAAAGAGGGUUAAAAAGUACGUGAAAUUGUUGAAAGGGAAGCGCUUGUGACCAGACUUGCGCCGGGCGGAUCAUCCAGCGUUCUCGCUGGUGCACUCCGCCCGGUUCAGGCCAGCAUCGGUUUUCGCCGGGGGACAAAGGCUUCGGGAACGUGGCUCCUUUCGGGGAGUGUUAUAGCCCGUUGCGUAAUACCCCGGCGGGGACCGACGACCGCGCUUCGGCAAGGAUGCUGGCGUAAUGGUCAUCAGCGACCCGUCUUGAAACACGGACCGAGGAGUCAAGCAUUAGUGCGAGUGUUUGGGUGUAAAACCCGCACGCGUAAUGAAAGUGAACGUAGGUGAGAGCUUCGGCGCAUCAUCGACCGAUCCUGAUGUUUUCGGAAGGAUUUGAGUAGGAGCAUUAACGCUUGGACCCGAAAGAUGGUGAACUAUACUUGAAUAGGGUGAAGCCAGAGGAAACUCUGGUGGAGGCUCGCAGCGGUUCUGACGUGCAAAUCGAUCGUCAAAUUUGAGUAUAGGGGGCGAAAGACUAAUCGAACCAUCUAGUAGCUGGUUUCAGCC
rnacentral:rRNA from 1 species